CUAAUACAAAAAUGGUGGUCACUAGUACACUGGUAAAACUCUCAACCUCUCCAAAAUAAAACACAACGAGAGGUAGACCACCUAGCGAAUCGUCCUCAAGGGAAGCUAGCUCGAAGCAACUCCCUUCCCGCGGUCCCUGGCCUCACCCUGAGUGGAAGGCUCUGAAAAACAUCGAGAAAAAGAGGGCGUGAGAACUAUAAUUUAUAGUUCCCAGUGGGCAAUUACUGACCUCAGCUCCUGCCCCACUAGGCCCCAAAAAUAAGGGUAAGUAAUGCCAAUAGCAAUAAGCAAUAAAAAGGAGCAUGUAAAUAAACUGCUGCAAGAAAGUGCAUAAAUAAAAUGCUAUACUACUAUAUUCCUCAUAAGCACGGUGUCAAAAUGUUGCACAUCUAUUCUAUCAUAAGGAAAGGUAACCAAUGGCAAUAGUUUACUGUUACAACCCUUUAUUCAAACACGGUGUAUAAGCUCUAUCAUGGCAACCAAGUAUACUGUGAUGAAAUAGGUAACUGUCAAGUAUACUACGUGUCUCAACCCUAUGCUAUAUGCAUGUAAAUGUAAUCCAACUACUAAGUCUAUCUAGUAGUGAUUGUUCAUUU
rnacentral:lncRNA from 1 species